GCCUUAGGGAGUAAGUAGUGUGGAUGGAAAGUAUUGGCCUUAAAAUCUGGUCAUGGUUUUUUACCUCUUCCUGACUUGCUGUGCAGCUUGGAUAAGUUUCUUGCCAUCUCUGGGCUUCUGUCUGCUCAUCUGCAAAGUUUUCUGACCUCCUAAAGUUGAUGGCACAGCAGAGGAGAAAAGCAAUUUAUUUACUCAUCAGUUCAUCCCAGACACUGGCAAUACAACAGUGAAUCAAACCAGCUGCCUCCCUGGUGACAGCUAUGUUCUGGUACAGAUUGCAUUUUGAGAGUCCCAGAGAUGGUAUCUCUCCAUGAGUGCCUCAUAGAGGAGGUGAUGUCAGAGCAGGGUUUUGAGGAAUGGAAAGCAUCUGCAAAGGAGAUUAUGAGAGAAGCUCAUGGCAAAGACAAGAGCAGCAGCAAAUGUGGAG
rnacentral:lncRNA from 1 species